AUUCAGCGGCGGACGGGUGAGUAAUGCCUAGGAAUCUGCCUGGUAGUGGGGGACAACGUUUCGAAAGGAACGCUAAUACCGCAUACGUCCUACGGGAGAAAGCAGGGGACCUUCGGGCCUUGCGCUAUCAGAUGAGCCUAGGUCGGAUUAGCUAGUAGGUGAGGUAAUGGCUCACCUAGGCGACGAUCCGUAACUGGUCUGAGAGGAUGAUCAGUCACACUGGAACUGAGACACGGUCCAGACUCCUACGGGAGGCAGCAGUGGGGAAUAUUGGACAAUGGGCGAAAGCCUGAUCCAGCCAUGCCGCGUGUGUGAAGAAGGUCUUCGGAUUGUAAAGCACUUUAAGUUGGGAGGAAGGGCAGUAAGUUAAUACCUUGCUGUUUUGACGUUACCAACAGAAUAAGCACCGGCUAACUUCGUGCCAGCAGCCGCGGUAAUACGAAGGGUGCAAGCGUUAAUCGGAAUUACUGGGCGUAAAGCGCGCGUAGGUGGUUCAGCAAGUUGGAGGUGAAAUCCCCGGGCUCAACCUGGGAACUGCCUCCAAAACUAC
rnacentral:rRNA from 1 species